rnacentral:misc_RNA from 1 species
AUUAAACUAGACAAAAGAGACGCCAUUGCUAUCUCCACCCCUCAGGGUAGGUGUGCCACCAUUGGGGGCCCAGGAAGUGCCUUUACCCCUGUGAAGAAUGCGGCUGUCAGUACCUCCUCUACAUUCACCAUGGUAACGGUUGCCAGUGUUACCACUCACACUGGAUGUGACUUUGAAGGGAUACAAAAAGGAGACGUUGUUAUUGAGGUAAAUGGUGCUACAACAAUGGCGAUCCCUGCAGUCUCCCUGAAAGCUGCCAUCCAGGCACAGCCUGGCGAUAUCCGUCUGCUGGUGGCUCGACCAAAGGAAGAGAAGGAGAAGGAGGAGAAAACAAUGGAACAGAAAAAUGAAGAGAUUGACAACCUGAAAAAGCAGCUAGCCACUAUGUACAUGGACCUGCAGAAGAAGAACAGUGUUCUCCAGGAGCUAACCUCCCAAAGAACUGUGACCAUUAAAGCCAGAAAGUCCGAGAUUAACGGCAACAUCAUGAGUCACGAAGCAAUACUGAACGCUCUCAGUGAAGACGAAUACAUAGUUUGAUGUUGCUAUGAGAAAUUUAAUGAUCUGGGGUUUUUUUUAUGAAGAAAGUUCAUAGAUUUUUGUUAUCAAAAUUGUCUGAGAGAGAAAUCUCACAAAUAUUUACCACUAAUAUCAAUGGCAUUUCUAUUACACUUGUAAUUAACUUGACUUUUGAAUAUGAAUUGAAACUUGUGCAUUCCUUUUACCCAAGACCUAUCAUGUUUAUUCCAUGUUUUGUAAUAUUAAAGGCAAACCAUGACCAUUAUUUCAUAGUGCAAUCAAAUCAGUUAAAUAUUUUGUAUUUCUUUCAUUACAUGUGUUAUUUUUUUUUAUUAUGGUAUGUAUUUCUUCAUUGAAUCAUCCAAUUGUCUGUCAAUAUUAUUCAAGAUAGGAUUUUGUUGAAGAUCUGGUUCAAUAUGCGUUGUUAUUAAAUGUUACGGAGAGUGAAGGAUUCCUCUUGCAAUACUGGAAACAGGAUCUUCCGACUUGUAUGAAGUUUGGAGUAGAAAUAAACUGGAAAUAUAC